ensembl:lncRNA
GCACAAUAAUGGCCCUGUUUUGUAGCUGGCUGUGUUUCUCCAAAAUGUAUUUAUAUUGCUGCCUUUUCAAAAGAAGUUGGCUAAUAUUAUUGGAUUUCCAUUUUCUGCCAUGACAUAUGAAAAUUUGAUGAGGUCUGUGAAAUUUAAGACUUGUUUCCUUAAGUGUGAUAGAACCUUAGUUAAUAUAGCUUUAGACUUCAGUCGCACAAAUCUGUGAUUACCUUUAAACUUUUUCCUUAUUGUUGGGGAGGGUGGAGAAAAGGGGGAGGCAGGAAGUGUGUAUAUGUAGCCAGGAGACAGGAAUGAGCAGAAAGACAGGGACAAAGUACAAACCUCACACGGCACCAGGCAGCUAUGUAUCUCCAAGCAGCCCAGGAUGAGAUUGAACAUCAAGUGACCCUGGAAGAACUACAAAAUUUAAACGCACUAUUUCAGAAACAAAUGGUGAAUGCAUCAGAGAAAUGAACAAAAGAUAUGUUAGAAGUUGACAGAGUUUAGGAGCAUGAAAAGAGAGGAACACGACUGCUGGAUAUGGAAACAUUCAAAAGCAUAAUGAAGCAGAGUAUGAGGUCCCAGAAUAAAAAUAUCAAACAAAUAGAACAAUUUUUCAUGAAAAUAGACUAUGAAGCAGUGGGUAAAAUUCAGUGGAGUACUCGUUGACCCUCAGUACUUCUGUCAACUUGAAGCUGAAUGAAGAGAACGUGCUUGUUUGCAAUUUUCAAAUUUAUGUAAUGGUAACCCAUAGUUGGAGUAGUUUAACUAGGUAUUUCAGUAACUAAGGCAAGUUACAUGAAAGAAAUUCUUAAACCAAGAAUGGAGGGCCACAUCCACCACUUUACUGAAAAGCCAGGAAAGUACUGCAGGCAAUGAUACAUGGUGAUAAUGAAAUCAGUGAACACAUGUAAAGUGUUUAGAACUGGGGUUGUCACACAAUAAAUUCUCAGCAAGUAUUAUUAUGAUUCCUGUUAAUAUUAUCCAAUUUUGGUUAUGUAAUAACAAAGAGCUGAGAUACCUGUUUUUUUGAUUCUUGGCCAUCAUGUCUGUCAGUGUCCUUCCAUUGUUCUGGGAUGAAUUAAGUUCAAAAGUGACAAAUUGAGCAGUAAGUCAUCUGUAUUCAGGCCUUUGGCCAAUUCUACAGUGCCCUCACUGUCAUAUGAUUUGAAAAGGAAUAUUCAAGAUUCCAGGGCAGAGAAGGGAAGCUUCUAGUGAAAGAGGAUUUUGGAAGAGGUGGACAGAAAAUGAAGAUUUCCCAGGUCCAAAGAGACUCCACCCUUUCUAUUUUUGAUCACAAAGUUCCUUCCCAUUAGUAUACUGCUAAGAUUCAAAAAAAGGCAUAUGCCCUGCUGUGUGGGAACUUCAGAAUCAGAUCAAUGACAACACAAGUCUCUGGCUGGCCAUUGGCUAGUUGUUCCAUCUUAGGCAAGCCAUUUAACUUCUCUUCAAGCUUGAGUUUCCCAGUUCAUAAAAUGGGGUGAGCGAUGGACCUUAACCCCUUUAGGAAUGAUGAGAAUUGAAGUGAAGACCCACACUACAUGGAACAUGGUACACUCUAACAGUCAUUAUCAUCACCGCCAUUGUCAUCAUCAUCAUCAUCAUCAUCAUCAUCAUCAUCAUCAUCAACAACAACAACAACAACACCAUUAAAGAAAAAGGGAAAGCAGAAGAAGUAAGCUGGCAGCUGGGAAACAGACUUCAGGCCCAGCUGAGCAUGCUUACCACAGUUAUUACACGGUGGCUUCUGGACGUAUCUACAGCUAGAGUAUUUGAAGCAGGCCAAGGCUUUGGCCUGACAGAAAGAGGUGUCCUUCCUGCUGCCUGCUGUAGUGCCACAGAGGCUGUCACAUGGGGGUCUUGUGCUGCGCAUUCUCUCUGUGCCUGAUGACACCUUAAUCAUGAUCAGAGAAGAUGGAGCUAUUUAUUUCUGGUCCCUGCAGCUGAAGCUGAAAAGAAAAAAGUGGAUUUUUGUAUGUGAUUUUCAUUUGAUAAGGAUGCUGAGUGCUACAGUUUGAUUUUAUUUGCUAUUUUAAACUGCUCCUUAAGUGGCAUGAUUACAUAAAUUGUGCCCUUGAAUAUAAUAUAUUCAUGUUGCAUUUUGUUAGGCUACGGAAUGCAAAUAAAAUAGAGCACUACAUGUA